rnacentral:rRNA from 1 species
AUCUACAGCCAUGCUACCCUGAACAAGCCCGAUCCUGGAAGCUAAGCAGGUAAGCAGGGUCGGGCCUGGUUAGUACUUGGAUGGGAGACCACCUAGGAAGACCAGGUGCUGUAGGCA